CGAACUCUGGUAUUGAUUGGUGCUUGCAUCAUGAUUUACAUUUGAGUGAGUGGCGAACUGGUGAGUAACACGUGGGAAACCUGCCCAGAAGCGGGGGAUAACACCUGGAAACAGAUGCUAAUACCGCAUAACAACUUGGACCGCAUGGUCCGAGCUUGAAAGAUGGCUUCGGCUAUCACUUUUGGAUGGUCCCGCGGCGUAUUAGCUAGAUGGUGGGGUAACGGCUCACCAUGGCAAUGAUACGUAGCCGACCUGAGAGGGUAAUCGGCCACAUUGGGACUGAGACACGGCCCAAACUCCUACGGGAGGCAGCAGUAGGGAAUCUUCCACAAUGGACGAAAGUCUGAUGGAGCAACGCCGCGUGAGUGAAGAAGGGUUUCGGCUCGUAAAACUCUGUUGUUAAAGAAGAACAUAUCUGAGAGUAACUGUUCAGGUAUUGACGGUAUUUAACCAGAAAGCCACGGCUAACUACGUGCCAGCAGCCGCGGUAAUACGUAGGUGGCAAGCGUUGUCCGGAUUUAUUGGGCGUAAAGCGAGCGCAGGCGGUUUUUUAAGUCUGAUGUGAAAGCCUUCGGCUCAACCGAAGAAGUGCAUCGGAAACUGGGAAACUUGAGUGCAGAAGAGGACAGUGGAACUCCAUGUGUAGCGGUGAAAUGCGUAGAUAUAUGGAAGAACACCAGUGGCGAAGGCGGCUGUCUGGUCUGUAACUGACGCUGAGGCUCGAAAGUAUGGGUAGCAAACAGGAUUAGAUACCCUGGUAGUCCAUACCGUAAACGAUGAAUGCUAAGUGUUGGAGGGUUUCCGCCCUUCAGUGCUGCAGCUAACGCAUUAAGCAUUCCGCCUGGGGAGUACGGCCGCAAGGCUGAAACUCAAAGGAAUUGACGGGGGCC
rnacentral:rRNA from 2 species